rnacentral:rRNA from 1 species
UACGAAGGGGGCUAGCGUUGCUCGGAAUCACUGGGCGUAAAGCGCACGUAGGCGGCUUGUUAAGUCAGGGGUGAAAUCCUGGAGCUCAACUCCAGAACUGCCUUUGAUACUGAAGAUCUCGAGUCCGGGGAGAGGUGAGUGGAACUGCGAGUGUAGAGGUGAAAUUCGUAGAUAUUCGCAAGAACACCAGUGGCGAAGGCGGCCGACUGGUCCGGUUCUGACGCUGAGGCGCGAAAGCGUGGGGAGCAAACAGG